rnacentral:rRNA from 1 species
AGAGUUUGAUCCUGGCUCAGGAUGAAUGUUGGCGGCGUGCCUGAGAUAUGCAAGUCGAGCGAAGUCCCGAUCGCAAGAUUGGGAUUCAGCGGCGGACGGCUGAGUAACGCGUAGGGACCUGCCCCUGAAUGGAAAAUAACCCCGAGAAAUCGGGGGUAAUGUUCCAUAGUUCUCCCGAUUUAUCGGGAGGUAAAGAAUUUAACUAUUCGUUCAGGGAUGGACCUGCGUCCUAUCAGAUAGUUGGUAAGGUAACUGCUUACCAAGUCUACGACGGGUAGCUGGCCCGAGAGGGUGGUCAGCCAGAGGGGAACUGAGAUACGGUCCCCACUCCUACGGGAGGCAGCAAUCAGGAAUAGUCGGCAAUGGGCGAAAGCCUGACCGCGCGACGCCGCGUGUAGGAAUAAGCUCUUAGGAGCGUAAACUACUGUGGUAAAAGAAGAAGUUCCGACGUCACGUCGGGAUUGACGGUAUUUUACUAGAAAGGGGCCGCUAACUGCGUGCCAGAAGCGUCGGUAAUACGUGGGCCCCAAACAUUAUCCGGUUUUAUUGGGCGUAAAGGGUCGUGUAGGUGUCCCAUUAAGUUUUUACUUAAAGACCUCAUGCUUAACGUGAGGAAAAGUAAAAAUACUAGUGGGAUAGAGUUUUCUUUAGGGGAACUGGAACUUAAGGAGGAGUAGUGAAAUGCGUUGAUACCUUAGGGAACACUAGUGGCGAAGGCGAGUUCCUGAAAGAUAACUGACACUGAGACACGAAAGCUAGGGUAGCGAAGCAGAUUAGAGACCUGCGUAGUCCUAGCCCUAAACGAAUGUCUGUUAGCUGCAUGAGAUUAACUUUGUUAAUUUCGUGUGGCGAAGGUAACCCGUUAAACAGACCGCCUGGGGAGUACGGCCGCAAGGUUGAAACUCAAAGGAAUUGGCGGGGAGGCACACAACCAGUGGAACAUGUGGUUCAAUUCGAAACGAACCGAAGAACCUCACCAGGGUUUGACAUUCCGAUGAUGUCCUCGUAAAAGCGAGGUUUCCGCAAGGACAUCGGAACAGGUGCUGCAUGGCUGUCGUCAGCUCGUUCCGUGAGGAGUGCCCUUAAGUGGGACAACGA